ACAUGCUCUCACUUACUUCGUCUGUCUGUACGUACACCCGCGAGCAAUCAGAAUAGAAGCGCUCAGGCUUUCCACCGUCCAUCCACGCGAGCAACAUGUCUUCAGACGUGCAACUGCGCGACGGAGCGAACCGAAUGAACACCGGCAUCACGGACACAGACCAAGCGAGGAGCGAGACCGCCUGAGAGCAUAUACACUCCAGAUACACCGCAGAUUGCCUUCUCGCCCUUGGGGAAUUCUGAUCGUCUGAGGUCGGCUCCGCUAACCACCAACAGAGCCUUUCAGCAGGAAGCAGGAUUUUCAGGUGUGAAGGCUUAUGAGCAGUGCAUUUCCUGAGGGAGCUUUUCCUGAGGCAGGAACAGAUGGACGGAAUAAACUUCACGUUGGGGAAUUCCUCUGAGGGAAAUGAAACGGAGCCAAAAGUGGAGACGAGCUCGUAUAAAACAGUGGAGGUGGUGUUCAUUGUGCUAGUAGCAGGCUCACUUAGCCUGGUAACUGUGGUUGGGAACAUACUGGUAAUGCUCUCUAUAAAAGUCAACAGAAGCCUACAGACUGUCAAUAACUACUUCCUGUUCAGCUUGGCAUGCGCUGACUUCAUCAUCGGGCUUUGCUCUAUGAACCUCUAUACUGUUUAUAUUGUCAUUGGUGCCUGGCCGCUUGGCCCUGUAGUGUGUGACCUGUGGUUGGCUCUGGACUAUGUGGUCAGUAAUGCAUCAGUCAUGAACUUGCUCAUUAUCAGUUUUGAUCGCUAUUUCUGCGUCACGAAGCCGCUGAGUUAUCCUGUAAAGAGGACGACUAAGAUGGCGGGGAUGAUGAUCGCUGCUGCCUGGGUGUUGUCCUUCAUCCUCUGGGCUCCAGCUAUUCUCUUUUGGCAGUUUAUUGUGGGUGGACGCACUGUGCCAGAAAGAGAGUGUUAUAUCCAGUUCUUUUCAAACGCAGCCGUUACUUUCGGCACGGCUAUUGCCGCCUUCUACUUGCCUGUAAUUAUCAUGAUGGUGCUAUAUUGGCAAAUCUCUCGAGCCAGCAAGAGUCGCGUGAAAAAGGACAACCGGAAGCCUUCAGGCACCAACACCGGAACUGGAUCUCCGGGUCAGAAUCGCAGCAACGCCGCCAACAAGCUGGACAACAACAAUGUGAUGGCCGAGGACCGCGAUAGGAAUCAAACCCAAACCACAGAAGAAAUGACCAACCAGCAUGACAGCAAACUGCAGAAUGGCAAAGCGCCAUCCACAGCCAGUGCUGAGAAAGAAGCCAAAGAAACCAAUCGGGACAACUGUGUCCCUGUUGAGGAGAAAGAGAGCUCCAAUGACUCCACUUCAGGCAGUGGGGCCACAGCUCAUCAGAAGCCAGAAGCCAACAACACUGAGACACCUGCACGGCACCAGGCCAAGACCGGUGCCUCUAAACUUACCUGUAUUAAAAUUGUCACCAAGUCCCCCAAGGGAGACUGUUAUACUCCCUCCAACACCACAGUGGAGAUCGUACCGGCAGCUGAGAAGCAGAACCAUGUUGCCCGCAAGAUUGCAAAGAUGACUAAGCAGCCCCCCAAAAAGAAGAAAGCAGCUCCUUCCCGGGAGAAGAAGGUGACACGCACCAUCAUGGCUAUCUUGGUGGCAUUCGUAGCCACGUGGACACCCUAUAACGUGAUGGUUCUCAUCAAUACCUUCUGCUCCAGCUGCAUCCCAAACACAGUGUGGACCAUUGGCUACUGGCUCUGCUACAUCAACAGCACCAUCAACCCUGCGUGCUACGCUCUGUGCAAUGCCACAUUCAAAAAGACCUUCAAACAGCUAUUGCUUUGUCAGUAUAAAAACAUACGCUCGACCAGAUGAGCUAGAAUAUCAGUAUGCAUGUUUGCAUGUAUGUUUAUGUUUUUUGUGCGUCUGUGAAUAGUUUGGAGUGAGUGUAAAACCCGUGGCAGCUGGGUGGGGCUUGGUUUCUUUUGGUUUUUGUAUCGUGUGGGUUCAGUUACUGACACCCUGUUGUAGCACUUUACACACAACACAACCACAACACACGUAGGCAAAUAGAUCUUUACGCUUUGUAUACAGAAACCUGAAAAGAUUUAAAACGCGACCGACCGUUUAGAGAAACCGGCGUGAAAAGAAAAAAAAAUCGCAGAUUGGAUUUUUAUUAGAUUUUGUAAAAUAGAAAUGUAUAAAAACAAUACGUUAAAUGUACAAUAGAUCGCAUGAAUAUACGUAUACAUAACUUAUUAGUGUGGCAGAAGACUGGAGCAGAAACUCCAUGUUUGUUUGAUAUUAAUGUUAUCUACAUAUAGUAGAGUAGCGAAACCAGAUUUCAUUUGAGAGAGCAGUAUAAUACUGAAUCUGCUCUUUUAAAGGGACAAUAGGGCUGACUGAACACUCAAACCUAGAGUUUGGACUUCAGUGUAAAAUAAUUUGUGUAAAUACUUGUUUAUAACCUUGUAUAGUAUGUGCCAUUUGCGUGUGUGUGUGUGUGCUGUGUGUGUGUGUGUGUGUGUGUGUGUGUGUGUGUGUGUGUGUGUGUGUGUGUGUGUGUGUGUGUGUGUGUGUGUGUGUGUGUGUGUGUAUGAGGUAGAUCUUGACUUAUAGACAGGAAUUAUAACUGAUGGGCUAUUGGCUGCUGUGUGUGCACGUGUGCGCGCGAGUGUGUGUGUGUGUGUGCAUGUGUGUGUGUGUGUGUGUGUGUGUGUGUGUAAGGUAGAUCUUGACUUAUAGACAGGAAUUAUAACUGAUGGGCUAUUGUCUGCUGUGUGUGUGCUGUGUGUGUGUGUGUGUGUGUGUGUGUGUGUGUGUGUGUGUGUGUGUGUGUGUGUGUGUGUGUGUGUGUGUGUGUGUGUGUGUGUGUGUGUGUGUGUGUGUGUGUGUGUGUGGACCCCAUAAGGGUACAAAAAUGAGGUGGACCCCAGAAUGUGAGAAAUGUGAGAAUGGUGUGUGUGUGUGUGUGUGUGUGUGUGUGUGUGUGUGUGUGUGUGUGUGUGUGUGUGUGUGUGUGUGUGUGUGUGUGUGUGUGUGUGUGUGUGUGUGUGUGUGUGUGUGUGUGUUGCUGGCCUAAAGCUGAAUGAGCUUUUGGAGAACCACUUUGCGGUAUCCCCAUGUAAGAGCGGGGCAGUGUGAAGUGCUCGGGCCUCCAGAGAUGCAAAUUAAAGGCUUUUAAAAUGAUGGCUGAUGAGCAGGGUGAAGAGACUCUUCUAUACAGAGCUGUUACCAUAGACUUAUUUUAAUAACUCUUUGCACACUGCUGUUUGUUUCAAUGUCACCGGAAGACAAAAAAAAACAAAAAACGUUUAGAGACAAUGAAGUGUCUGUCAUGCAUGGUGAUAACCCAUCUCCAGUUAUUUAAAACCCACUGCAAAAAAAAUCUCUUGCUUUCUCAUGAAAGAUGCAGAGAUGCAAAUGUAUGCUCAUGCCUGCAGCAAGAUGUUCAUUCAUGCAGUCUGCAGGUGGUUACACCAUACCGACAAGCCUGCAGCACUGUUCUGGAGGGAUCCUGUGUUUUUUCUGUCAGUGUAGCAGCGUGUGUUGAGACUCAGAGUUGAUUAUGAGAAAGGACUAAGCACUGGGUUGUGUAUGUAUAAUGUGUGAGUAGCGAUAGAGCUUCCUCUGAGUCUACCUCUCUGUGGUAUUGUGUUUUUUCACUGAGGUUUUCAAUCUGUGUGUGUGUGUGUGUGUGUGUGUGUGUGUGUGUGUGUGUGUGUGUGUGUGUGUGUGUGUGUGUGUGUGUGUGUGUGUGUGUGUGCAUGCGUGUGAAAGAUCACCCCAGAAUGGGGGUUAUUCUAAAUCACAGGCCUUGGUCUUGUGAAUUAAAAGGGCUAGAUAUUUUGCACGUCAUCAUUCAUGUAGCAUCACGUAAAUAAAAUAAAAUGACAGCAAUGAAAAUAUCCUGAAUAUACUCAACUUUUUUUUUUCCUUUUCCCAAUUACACCAAAUGUGAAACGAGUAAAUUUAUUCCUAAACAUUUCUUUUACUCAUUUCGAGCUUUUAGUAUUUUCAAGAUCGUUCUUAUCCUAUCUUGACUCUAUUCGACUUUUGCUUGCUUGACAAUUUUUUUGAGAAGCCUGUUGUAUUUGAGUAACUAUAAAUUCCCCGUUCUGUUGAUAUACUCGACCUCGACUGUCCAUCUGUAAUUCUACUAGAAGUGAUAAUGUUAUUGCAGGAUGCUGGCUAAUGUGAAAGAUUUAAAAGACUCGUGUCAGGGAAUGCGCCGAGUUUUAAUGUGAAAGAGGCAUGUUUUUGCCAAAGGGCAAUGAAGUGGAGUGAAUCUUUAGAUUGACUCGUGAGGAGCAUAAAGGUUUGCGCUGAACGCUGCUGUUCGAGUUAAGGAUUUUGGCUGCAGUGUUUGAAGCAGGAGCAGGUCCUUGCUAUGGGCAAUGUGAUACAGAGCAAUGUGGAUUAAAGAAAUAACACAAUCUCACGGUAAGAUGAAUCAGAUUAUCUGGCAAACCCGAACCCUCUGUGAGAUGGAAGAUUCAGCUGCCCCGCACCUUUUUUUAUAAUCUCUUUAUCCACGAAUCGUUAAAAAAAAAGGAGAAAUAUUUACAAAGAUUACGCUAAAAGUGUUUCCUUUUCACUUUCUUCCUGACACGUGCUCGACGAUCGACUCGACAGAAUAGUAAAUCGAUACAUAAACAUCAGCAAUAGAAUUAUUCACAGUAAAUGCUGCCAAGCGAGCCAGAAGAUUUUUAAGCUUAAGAUUAUUAAUCGGGGCUAAAAAAUAAUCUCGCUCCAUUAGCAGACGGUUUUGCUCAUAUUCAGAGUAUAAUUCUAGACAAAAUGCAAAAUGAUUUGUUAAUACGAUAAAAAAAAAAAAAAAUCUCACUAACUGAUUUAGCGAACCUAGUGGUCAAUACGGGAACUGCAACAAGCGUUAGUGGACAUCCAAAGAGGAGGAUUUUCCCUGCCUCACACACACACACAGUUUUCUAAUGGAGAUUAUUGGUUGCCAGAUUGGUGUAGUUUUAACCAAAUCUCUAGUCAGUGCCUUAACCAGUUGAGCCACCACCAUCCACCAGAAGAACGAGGCGACUUGCCAUGAGGCGACUUGCCACGAGGCGACUUGCCACCUAUUAGAAAUGUCUCACAAAUAACUCACACAUAAGAUGUAAUUGUCUUAACACUAGUUACGUCCAUGGGACUCGAUUCCUUUGCUAAAAAUUUGCAGUGUUUGCAGUUUACAAAUUCUUUUUAAAAAAAAUAUCUCACAUUUUUUGUCAUUUGGUUUGGUUUGUUGUAUAGAAAUGAAUUCAAUCCUUUCAUUAACAUUCAGCAUCAUGUUGUGGUGGAAUUCCAGGUAACAGACGUCGUUCCAGCGGCAGUGUUAGAAAUCCGAGGCUCUGACGACACGGUUCUUAAUUAAUUAGUCAGUCUAACUGUGUGUGUCCUGAACGGAGCUACCGCUAACCGAAAGUCAUCAAGUGCCUUACUGACCCGUCUAAUCAUCUUCUUACUUUUUUUUUUAUCUUUCUCCUCUUAUGAAACGUAGGAUCCGAUCGAACCCAAAGUUCUUUUUAUUCCGAUUUCUUCUUAAUUAUUCCUUAGCUCCCAUCAUCCUGACAGAUUUGCAUAGCAACAUGUAUCUAAAAAUACACUCUGGUCUUCAGAUGUGUUAAAAAAAAAGGACUGCGUUUAAACGUAUGCGCAGCCAAUCUCUGGAGGUCUGGGUAUGUUUGCUUUUGUGCGCUUUGUGUGUAUGACGUGAGUGUGUGUGUGUGUGUGUGUGUGUGUGUGUGUGUGUGUGUGUGUGUGUGUGUGUGUGUGUGUGUGUGUGUGUGUGUGUGUGUGUGUGUGUGUGAGUGAGUGAGAUCGUGUUCAUAUUAAGAUAUCAACAACAAUAAUGUGUAUAUGAAACGAUCAAAACUUUAUAAAAGAAUUACUCAGAUACAGAGGAAACACACACACACACACACACACACACACACACACACACACACACACAUUGGCAAUUUCUCACACAAAAAUGGGUGCCAAAGACACACUGCCAGCGGCAAGCCAACAAACAAACCCAUAAAUGAGAUGAGCAUGCUCAAAUACAUGACGCUUGCUGCACUGAAUCAAUUUGAAGAAAAAUAUCUAUCUUUUUUUUUUUUAUGAGGUUUUAUAAAAAUAAAUAUCCACUUAUUCUGUAUAGACGUGUUGUAUAUAAAGCAUGUGUUUAUCGCCGAACCGAGGAAAUGACUCCGGAGUAUCGAUUCUGUUGUUCUGGAGCAUCUGUCAGUGGAAACAAGAGAUAAUUGGAUGUUAAAUCAAGAAACCGAAUUCUCUAAACCCCCACAGACGAGCCGAGGUUUUAAUUAUCGAGACAGAAAGAGAGAUGAUGAUGAUGAAGACAGAAGAUCAUAAAUAGUAUAAAUAAUUGUCGUGUACAUUCAUCGAGUAGAAACACUUCAGCUUCGAUGUUUUGGGUUUAUUUUAUUUUAUUCGAUUUUAUUUUAUUUAUGUUUGCGUGACGGAUUUAAAACGAAUCUUGUGAGGCUUUUCUGUAGACGCUUUCUACAAAGUCAUGCCAGCUUUGCCUGUGAGCGAGGCAGGAAACGGCGAGGAAAAGAAAUAAAACCUUCAAGCAAAUCGUUAAAAAAAAAAAAAAAAAAGAAGGUAGAAAUAAGCACACAAAUUUCUCUCUUUCCUCAGGGAGUAAGGGAGGAAUGGACCAAAAAAAUAAUAAAAAGAAACAACAUCAAGAAAAAAGACAAACUAACUUGUCUACAGUAAAGAGUUAGAAAGUAGAAUACGUCUAGGAGGAUAUGUGGAAAUGUACUUCCUGUGUCUACUGUACAUACCGAACUCUUUAUGUUCUCAUGCUGAGGUGUCGUUCUUCACCUUCACGGUGGCUUGUGACUUUCAUCAAGUAGAAAAGAUGUUUGUUAAACAGUUCAAAGCUUUCCACUGUACAUACGGUAUAAAUAUAUAUAAAUAAAUCAAUCCAACGAACAUGUUACGUAGUUUGGCGCAGUUGAUCGAUGUAAAUACAUGUUUAUGAUUUCAUGUUUAUGAGCUCCUUUACUGUAUGUCUUCUUCUCAGCCCCUCGCUCUUCAGUCUUCCCUUCCUUCGCCGUCCCUCCUGUUUGUACGUCGUGCAACGGUUACCGAAUUCUUUAAGGAAAGUUGGAUGUUUAGAAAUUAUAAACGAUACUGUAACAUGAAAUACAUUUACGAUGAAUAUUGUGCUCUACUCUUUUGGAGAAUAAUUCUGUCGAAUAAAGAUAUAAGAGUCUGAGGAG